GAAACUUCUUCUGAUUCUGUUUUUUGGACGCUAAAGGAGGAGUAUUUACCGCCUGGUUGGCUCUGUCUGGUAUGUGGUGCAUCUGACAAUCAAGAACUUCCUCCAAAUUUUAUAAAGCUCAAAAGAGAUGUAUACACACCAGAUGUGAUGGCAGCAUGUGACUAUAUGAUCGGAAAGAUUGGGUAUGGAACAGUAAGUGAGGCUCUGUCAUACA